UUUUUGCGUUAACGAUAGUAGCGGCAUCCUUUUUUUGCUUUUUAAAAUAUCAUGCAAAUUGCAAAAAAAGAUACAGCGGAUAGCGUGUUAAAAC
rnacentral:sRNA from 1 species